rnacentral:rRNA from 1 species
AACCUACGAGGCGCAGCAGUGGGGAAUAUUGCACAAUGGGGGAAACCCUGAUGCAGCAACGCCGCGUGAGUGAAGAAGUAUUUCGGUACGUAAAGCUCUAUCAGUAGGGAAGAAGAAAGACGGUACCUGACUAAGAAGCAUCGGCUAACUCCGUGCCAGCAGCCGCGGUAAUACGGAGGAUGCGAGCGUUAUCCGGAUUUAUUGGGUUUAAAGGGUGCGUAGGCGGUCCGUUAAGUCAGCGGUAAAAUUGCGGGGCUCAACCCCGUCGAGCCGUUGAAACUGGCAGACUUGAGUUGGCGAGAAGU